rnacentral:rRNA from 1 species
AUACCAAAAUUUAUCCCACAAAGCAGGAACCUGCAUAUUGUAGGUGUCGCUGCUUUGUGCUGGGCAGUUUGGAAACUACACAAUAGAGCAUGUUUUGAGAAAAAGUCGGUUCGACCUAGUGAGUUUGUUUGCUAUGCAUGCUCAUUUAUGUGUUACUGGGCAGGUCUACAAAAUGAUGGAGAUCUUCUGGUGCUAGAGAGGGGAGCUAAUAUGCUACAUAAUGCAGCAUUGAAAAUCCAUGAUGGUAGAAAUGUUGGGAGCAGGGGUGAUGCACUAACGUUGGAAGCAGGAGAAAAUUCAAAUGAUGAACAUAAUGGAGCUAAGAACGAUUUUGACCAUGAAGCCAUGGAGGAAGAUGUUUGA